GGGAGUACGGCCGCAAGGUUAAAACUCAAAUGAAUUGACGGGGGCCCGCACAAGCGGUGGAGCAUGUGGUUUAAUUCGAUGCAACGCGAAGAACCUUACCUGGUCUUGACAUAUCUAGAAUCCUGCAGAGAUGCGGGAGUGCCUUCGGGAAUUAGAAUACAGGUGCUGCAUGGCUGUCGUCAGCUCGUGUCGUGAGAUGUUGGGUUAAGUCCCGCAACGAGCGCAACCCUUGUCCUUAGUUACCAGCGGGUUAAGCCGGGAACUCUAAGGAUACUGCCAGUGACAAACUGGAGGAAGGCGGGGACGACGUCAAGUCAUCAUGGCCCUUACGACCAGGGCUACACACGUGCUACAAUGGUAGGUACAGAGGGCAGCUACACAGCGAUGUGAUGCGAAUCUCAAAAAGCCUAUCGUAGUCCAGAUUGGAGUCUGCAACUCGACUCCA
rnacentral:rRNA from 1 species